rnacentral:rRNA from 1 species
UACGAAGGGGGCUAGCGUUGUUCGGAAUUACUGGGCGUAAAGCGCGCGCAGGCGGUCUUCCAAGUCAGUGGUGAAAGCCCGGAGCUCAACUCCGGAACUGCCAUUGAAACUGUGAGACUUGAGGAUGAGAGAGGUGAGUGGAAUUCCCAGUGUAGAGGUGAAAUUCGUAGAUAUUGGGAAGAACACCGGUGGCGAAGGCGGCUCACUGGCUCGGUAACUGACGCUCAUGCACGACAGCGUGGGGAG